rnacentral:miRNA from 1 species
UAGCUUACCACACUGAUGUUGAC